rnacentral:lncRNA from 1 species
ACAAGUGACCGGUGAAAAAAAAAAGAGAUAACGUCAGAUUCGUAAGGUGUUGACACCUUAAUAGCUAACUGUUCAAAAUGAGAGAUAUGGAAGACAUCCACGUAACUUGUAUUUAUUACCACAUACAAUUUUAAAUUAGAUUAAUGAUGUAGUUCCAUGAAAUAAAUAAAUGAAUUAAUGGUGUAGAAACUGAAAUGAAUUUAGUGCAUAAUGAAAAAUAAAAGGAUGGUUCCAUUUCAUAUGAGAAAUAGUAUAUGACUCUAACCCGACACACAACUCUUAAAUGUUAAAACAUACCUAACUUUUGAAUACUAAACCCUAAACUGUUAUCACUAAACCCAAACCUCAAUCCCCACCUUCCAAAUACUAAACCCUAAACGCUAAUCACUAAACCCUAAAUCCUAAUCACUAAACCCUAAACCCAAGUAUAGACC